AGCUUUGCGCAGUGGCAGUAUCGUAGCCAAUGAGGUUUAUCCGAGGCGCGAUUAUUGCUAAGAAAUUACUAAUGGAGAAAGGAAAUUAAAGGCUGUGGAUGGUCAGAAUAACUCACAUAUUCUAGAAGACGAGAAAUUUGG
ensembl:snRNA U4 U4 spliceosomal RNA